rnacentral:rRNA from 1 species
UCGAAUGGGGAGAUUCAUCGUCAGCGAUUCCGGUACGUGUGCGGCUCGCGAUGUCCGAGACUUCGGUCUCGCGGCACGCGUCCGCAUGUUUUUUAUUGCUGGAAUCGUCGGCGUGCACUUCUCCCCUAGUAGGACGUCGCGACCCGUUGGGUGUCGGUCUACGGCACGGUAGGUAGCCUGUCACGUGUGCGCUUCACGGCGUUACGCGGGGCAGACCUCCGUUCGCCCGACCGGCUGCUCGGCGGUACUCGCAAGGUAUCUGGCCGCAGACAUACGAACUGCGUCCGGCCCGUCGCAAGCGCGGCAAGUGUUUCCCGGCUGUAACGGAUCUAAUGCCGUCACCGGGCCUUGCCAGCUGUUGGUUGACGGUGUCCUAGGACUGGCUAACAAAUUAUGAUACCGGUCGGCGACGCUACUGCUUUGGGUACUUUCAGGACCCGUCUUGAAACACGGACCAAGGAGUCUAACAUGUGCGCGAGUCAUUGGGAUCUAUUAAGCCUAAAGGCGCAAUGAAAGUGAAGAUCGGCCUUGCGCCGAUCGAGGGAGGAUGGGCCGCGUCACGAUGCGGUCCCGCACUCCCGGGGCGUCUCGUUCUCAUUGCGAG